AGCGACUGUCGACUUUCCGAAGUAACUGCCGCGACAUUGGAAUAGAAUUCGACUUUCCUUCGAGAAAGUUUCGACUAAUACUCGUCGCAGUAAGCACACGGUAAUAAGCUGUGUAGAUGCUGAAUGCGAAGAGUCCUUGACCCCUCGAGACGUCCGCUUGUUGAUCCUCCAAGCUCACAUUGGGUUUAUAAAUGGUAAACCUUUUACGAGUGAAUCUUACGAGCGAGACUUUGAUGGAACUCACGAGGGAACCUAUGAGCACUCGUAUCAGCUAAGGCAUAAAUCAAACAUAGGGUUAAACAAAGCUAUUAGGGACAUAAGUAGCACAGCUGAUCAGUCCAUAACAUCCAACCAAAACACUCUUGUGGCGAAGCAGAACGAAACGCAGUCAGAAGACUGAUCUGAUGGUAACCGAAAUCAUACAGGAACGAAGAACUAGGUCAAAGUCCAAUCAUGUUAGCAAAGGCCUGUCGUGAUAGUGAACCAUCGAGAUUACCGUGGAAGAAAAUUCUGAACUUAUUUAACAAGAGUAAAGCAAUUAAGAGAUCUGAUUCUGGAAUCAUGGGAACUGCAAUCAUAUUGUUCAUUGCCAUUGACACCCAUUGCAAGAACCUGGUUACCCCAUCAACCUUCAUGCCAUGGCAUAUCUUGGUGAAGGAAGUGCUUCAGUAGGUUGGAAACAGGGUCUCCAAGUGAUCCAAUCUGGUGACUCCAUUUUUGAGAGACUGAAGACCUGAAGGUAACUGAAGGUUUCCUGCGAGAUAAGAAAAUUUUUCAACUUAGCAUCCAUUACAUUGGUAUUACUUCACUUUGUUCUAUGAGUGGUCCAGCAAACUUGCACUAAUCUCUCACCUGGUCAGAUGCGAUACUUAACCCAAUCAUGAUUUAACCCUUAAACCACUAAGAGCUGACUAGCAUCUAAUUUCUCCCUACAUUAUCAACCCUUGUUCAUGUGAUUUGGUCAGAGAAUGAGUAUUUCAACCCCAAAAUGGUGUACAAAAGAAUUUUACCCUCAUUAAAGUUUACUCUUUCCAUCUCUCUUAACCCUUUCACUCCCAUAAGUGACCAAGACAGAAUUUCUCCUUGCGAUAUCAAUACAAUAUCAAGCAGAUAAGUGACAAAAAUAAAGAAAUAUAUCAGUUAGAGGAUUAGUCGUUGAUCCAAUACCAAAUUCUCAAAACUAACAUCACAAGAACUGUAUGGUAGACAGUGAGGAGAAUUACUAAUGAGAUCUUGGUGCAAGAUCUGAACUUAAAGGUGAAAUGAUUGACAAGUUGACUCUGACAUACAAUCAAACUCGCCAAGCUGUGAUUACAAGGGAAUUGAUUGAGAUCAUCUCAGGAGCUGCAGCACUGGAUUAGAUUGAGAACUUUUUAUGAAAAUGAUGUCUUAAGUAAUGUUUGUAACUGUUGAAAUAAAGAAGCCCUUGGAGGUGUGUUUCCAUCCUUGACAAAA